UACGGAGGGGGCUAGCGUUGUUCGGAAUUACUGGGCGUAAAGCGCGCGUAGGCGGCUUUGUAAAUUAGAGGUGAAAGCCCGGAGCUCAACUCCGGAACUGCCUUUAAGACUGCAUCGCUAGAAUUGUGGAGAGGUGAGUGGAAUUCCGAGUGUAGAGGUGAAAUUCGUAGAUAUUCGGAAGAACACCAGUGGCGAAGGCGACUCACUGGACACAUAUUGACGCUGAGGUGCGAAAGCGUGGGGAGCAAACAGG
rnacentral:rRNA from 1 species